rnacentral:rRNA from 1 species
AGUGAACGCUGGCGGUAGGCCUAACACAUGCAAGUCGAACGGCAGCACAGUAAGAGCUUGCUCUUACGGGUGGCGAGUGGCGGACGGGUGAGGAAUACAUCGGAAUCUACUUUUUCGUGGGGGAUAACGUAGGGAAACUUACGCUAAUACCGCAUACGACCUACGGGUGAAAGCAGGGGAUCUUCGGACCUUGCGCGAUUGAAUGAGCCGAUGUCGGAUUGGCUAGUUGGCGGGGUAAAGGCCCACCAAGGCGACGAUCCGUAGCUGGUCUGAGAGGAUGAUCAGCCACACUGGGACUGAGACACGGUCCAGACUCCUAUGGGAGGCAGCAGUGGGGACUAUUGGACAAUGGGCGCAAGCCUGAUCCAGCCAUACCGCGUGGGUGAAGAAGGCCUUCGUGUUGUAAAGCCCUUUUGUUGGGAAAGAAAAGCAGCAGGUUAAUACCCCGCUGUUCUGACGGUACCCAAAGAAUAAGCACCGGCUAACUUCGUG